rnacentral:rRNA from 1 species
GACAGAGGUCCCGAGCGUUAGGCGGAAUCACUGGGCUUAAAGCGUGUGUAGGCGGAUCGUUAAGUGCCUUGUGAAAUCCCAUGGCUUAACCAUGGAACUGCUUGGCAUACUGGCGAUCUUGAGCCACUUAGGGGCAACCGGAACAAAUGGUGGAGCGGUGAAAUGCGUAGAGAUCAGGCGGAACACCCGUGGCGAAGGCGGCCAGCUGGGCCGUCCCUGACGCUGAGGCGCGAAGGCGUGGGGAGCGAACGGG